rnacentral:misc_RNA from 1 species
AAGCAAACCAAGGUUUACACAAAUACUCAACAGAAAAGGCAAGAAAAACAAAUCUCAGGUGUCAGGCAAUUUCAUCUGCACCAGUUCAGCAGGUGGCCUCAGAGUACAAACCAUUUCAUUUGUCUUCCCAAAAUAUACCUGAUCCAAGGAGUUUCUCAGUUUACCCUCCAUCUCUUCAAUCAUCUUUCCCAUGUUACACAGAUGACCCUCUGAGACAGAGAGCUUCAUACUCAUCUGUCUUCUAAUUGAUCCAGACAAAUUGAAUGAGCCUGAUGACUCAUUGUCAGUAGUCAAGGUCAGCAUCACUGUACUAGUCAGGCAGUACUGGACAAUUUCUUCCUCUUCUGGUCCCACCUCAAUAACAUGUAUGGCGUCCCAGGCUCCUUCCUGGAGAUACCCCCUUCUACCAUGUCCAGUCUUGGAGCCAUCUUUCUUUAUUAAAAAGCAAGCAACAAAACCUUCAUUUUCAUCUUCCCACAUAUAAACUGAUGAGAUGCCGCCUUCAUAGUACUGGUCACGAUAGAUAGCAAAGACUUCAUUUGCUUCAACCUCAAGUUUCCUCAGCUCCAGAGAAGGUUGAGGCGCAUCUUCUAAUGGUGGAUGAUACUUAUUUGACCAAGGAGACCUAUAUGAAUCAGCAUCUCUGUUAUACUCACAGAGGAUGAAUUCUUUGCCG